rnacentral:rRNA from 1 species
AACGCGAAGAACCUUACCGCCCUUUACAUUCCUGGAAACCCCCGGAAACGGGGGAUGUCCUUUAGGAGCCGGGAAACAGGUGGUGCAUGGCUGUUGUCAGCUCGUGUCGUGAGAUGUUGGGUUAAGUCCCGCAACGAGCGCAACCCUUUUUCUUAGUUGCCAGCGAGUCAGGUCGGGAACUCUAAGGAGACUGCCGGGGAAAAACGGGAGGAAGGUGGGGAUGACGUCAAGUCAUCAUGGCCCUUAUGGGCUGGGCUACACACGUGCUACAAUGGUCGGCACAAAGGGCUGCAACCCCGCGAGGGGGAGCCAAUCCCAAAAAACCGUUCCUAGUCCGGAUUGCAGUCUGCAAUUGGACCCCAUGAAUUGGGAAUCGCUAGUAAUCCCGAAACAACACCCCCGGGGAAAACCUUUCCCGGGUCUUGUACACACCG